CUGGUAUGUCACGGGUAGGGUCUGUGCUGCCAGAGAUCUGCAGCAGGGGUUGCAAGCUGGGAAAGAACCCCAGCAAUGCCUCUGCUGAAGUGGAGCAAGAUACACUCCAAGAAACCUCAGAAUUGUUUGGACUGAGCUUCAGCUUGAACUGUGAUAAAUGACUGACUGCUUGGGCUGAGAAAAGGAGGUAAAUCUGUCCACCAGCAAAGAAGGAGUGGGAAGGCAAAUGCAACCACAAGGCCUGGCUGUAAUAUGGAAAACACAGCGUGACAUUCACCAAGAAUUUACACAGUGAUCAAUUUAUGUUGCACCUGUUUGUCUGAUACUAUCA
rnacentral:lncRNA from 1 species